rnacentral:rRNA from 1 species
UACGUAGGGUGCGAGCGUUGUCCGGAUUUAUUGGGCGUAAAGGGCUCGUAGGCGGUCUGUCGCGUCGGGAGUGAAAACUCAGGGCUUAACCCUGAGCCUGCUUCCGAUACGGGCAGACUAGAGGUAUGCAGGGGAGAACGGAAUUCCUGGUGUAGCGGUGGAAUGCGCAGAUAUCAGGAGGAACACCGGUGGCGAAGGCGGUUCUCUGGGCAUUACCUGACGCUGAGGAGCGAAAGUGUGGGGAGCGAACAGG